CCCAUUCAUUGCGAGUCUCCCCUAGAAGGUCUUUUAAGCUUCCCAUCAUGGCGGACUUUGUUCUGACGGAGCUUAACUAUCGCCUUUAAAAUGGGAAGGAGAGCAGCUUGUGGGGAUAGAGCAAGACCCGUCUAAUUUUACACCUUCGAAUACGAGAUUCCAGCGAGGAAGCUCUAGCAUCCGGAGAAGGGUUUCACGAUUAAUUGGGAGCAAUUUGAUUACCUGCUAUAUAGUUGUUUUUAAGAAGACGCACCUCCUGUUAGCCAGACACGCAGCAAUGCCGAAUUGAUUCGUGAGGUGACACUUUUUAUCAUUGAGAAACACAACGAAGCUGAGAUGCAGGAUACAGAUUGUAAAGAAAAAUCUGGGGAAUGCAAAAGAGGAAGAAACAUAGUUUUUUUUUUUGUUUUAGUAAAAAGAGGAAGAAACAGAGUUAUUGGACGAAGGUUUUGUUGAUCCUCACACUAAUUCUUUUCCUCAUAUGUUUGGGUAAUUUCUCCUAAUACUUUUAUAAAUUGUAAGAGAAUUUUAAAAACAGCUUCUAUGUUGUUGUAGAAUUAUGUUUUCUGUUAAAGAAAAAAGGUCAUCGGAA